GAUGAACGCUAGCGGCAGGCUUAACACAUGCAAGUCGAGGGGCAGCAUAAAUAGUAGCAAUACUAUUGGUGGCGACCGGCGGACGGGUGCGUAACGUGUAUACAACCUUCCCUAAACAGGGGGAUAAUCUGGAGAAAUUCGGUCUAAUACCCCAUAACAUCAGAGCAGGCAUCUGUUUUGGUUAAAAUUUCCGGAGGUUUAGGAUGGGUAUGCGUAGCAUUAGCUAGUUGGUGAGGUAACGGCUCACCAAGGCGACGAUGCUUAGGGGGACAGAGAGGUUAACCCCCCACACUGGUACUGAGACACGGACCAGACUCCUACGGGAGGCAGCAGUGAGGAAUAUUGGUCAAUGGGCGGAAGCCUGAACCAGCCAUGCCGCGUGCAGGAUGACGGCUCUAUGAGUUGUAAACUGCUUUUGUACGAGGGUAAAGUGGGCUACGUGUAGCCUUUUGAAAGUAUCGUACGAAUAAGGAUCGGCUAACUCCGUGCCAGCAGCCGCGGUAA
rnacentral:rRNA from 1 species